rnacentral:rRNA from 1 species
UAAUACGUAGGGGGCGAGCGUUGUCCGGAAUUACUGGGCGUAAAGGGUGCGUAGGCGGCCCUUUAAGUCAGAUGUGAAAGGCCACGGCUUAACCGUGGGAUUGCAUUUGAAACUGGAGGGCUUGAGUGUCGGAGAGGGUAGUGGAAUUCCCAGUGUAGCGGUGAAAUGCGUAGAUAUUGGGAGGAACACCAGUGGCGAAGGCGACUACCUGGACGAUAACUGACGCUGAGGCACGAAAGCUAGGGGAGCAAACAGG